CAGUAGCCGCGGUAAUACGUAGGGUGCAAGCGUUAAUCGGAAUUACUGGGCUUAAAGCGUGCGCAGGCGGUUUUGUAAGACAGAGGUGAAAUCCCCGGGCUCAACCUGGGAACUGCCUUUGUGACUGCAAGGCUAGAGUACGGCAGAGGGGGAUGGAAUUCCGCGUGUAGCAGUGAAAUGCGUAGAUAUGCGGAGGAACACCGAUGGCGAAGGCAAUCCCCUGGGCCUGUACUGACGCUCAUGCACGAAAGCGUGGGGAGCAAACAGGAUUAGAUACCCCUGUAGUCCCUGUCUCUUAUAA
rnacentral:rRNA from 1 species